rnacentral:lncRNA from 1 species
CCACGUGUCAGUCGGGCCUACUUAUCAACCCCUAUAUAAACCCCCUGCUUCUCUUCUUUCCUUUUCUCUCCCUCGUUUUGUCUCUCUCUCUCUCUCUCAAUUCGCCGUCGUUUAAUCGGCGAAUGUUCGAAUUUAUUUUUAUUUAUUAAAUAUUUUUGACUUUUUUGUGAACACGUUAGAGUCGACAGAUCAGUUGAAAGUUUCUGGUCAGAGUCAGUUAUGACCGUCUGAUUGCUCUUGUGAUCUCCGUCAUUUGCUGAAUUUACUUUUCCCCAAGAGGUAUAAUCCAUUUUGCUCUACCAAUUCUCGUCGAGCUUUGUUGUGUCUUCUUUUUCUUGCCUGAUUUGGCAUCUGGUAUGAGAAUGUACAGAGUUUUGAUAGGGAACUUGCUUCUGCAUUGACGCGUUGAUUUGUCGGCGGGUUUUUUUUUUGGUCGAUUAA